rnacentral:lncRNA from 1 species
CUCAGUUGAACUUGAUCCAGUCCAAAGAAGAAGAAACCAAGGCACAGAUAGAGUUUGAGUGACUUGCCAGCAUUUCACAGUUUGGCUUCAAGAUCAGAUUUUCCUAAUGUAGGAAUCUUUCUACUUUACCACGCCCUGCACUACCAGUCCCUGAAGUAGCAUUUUUUUCUCCUAACAGAGUUAGGAAGAAUUUGCCUGUAGAAGAGAUCUCCUUAAACUCAGCAGCAUUACCCAGACCCUCCAGUCUCAGAGCUCUGGCCUCAGCCUACUUGCAGCUAUGGCUAAAUCUCCCCUUGCAGUGCAAAGGCUCUUUUUGCACUUAAUGGCAGGAUAGAGGCUCGGCCUCCCCAGCUCUAAUGUUUCCAUUUCUUGGGGACUUUACAGCUGCCUCAAGGUGGUCCCCCCUCCCCCUGCCCAGUCUCUCUGCUUCAGGAUCCAUUCGUCCUGGUGUGUGAAUCCCUGAAGUAGCAUUUGAAUCCUCUUGAUUCAGCCGGAGCAUCUUGGAAAAGUUGUCUCUCUCUCUUUCUCUCUCUCAUACAUAUAAAAAGCCAGGCCAGGGUCAGGGGAGGAUUCUUUGCCUACUGGGAAAAAUGGAGAGGAGGGAAUGGUCACAGCAAGUCUUUUGGAUUUCCUGGGAAAGCCUGAGAGCCAGAGAAGGAGAAGGGGCCACUGUUGUCAUGCACUCAGCAAUGAUCCCCACCUCAACACUGGCUCUACCAUCACCAUCUUCUCUUUCAGCCACCACCUCUGGGCAUUUUACAGAAUACUGCCCUCAGCAGUACAGCUCCUCUCUGAACUUUUGUUAAAGACUUUGGCUGUGGGGAUCCCCCAGACUUGAUGUACUAAAGGGAUGGCCCUCUCUGCACCAAACCAGAUUAUCAGAUUUCACUUACUCUGCUAAGAUCCAU